rnacentral:rRNA from 1 species
UACGUAGGGUGCAAGCGUUGUCCGGAAUUAUUGGGCGUAAAGCGCGCGCAGGUGGUUUCUUAAGUCUGAUGUGAAAGCCCACGGCUCAACCGUGGAGGGUCAUUGGAAACUGGGGAACUUGAGUGCAGGAGAGAAGAGUGGAAUUCCACGUGUAGCGGUGAAAUGCGUAGAGAUGUGGAGGAACACCAGUGGCGAAGGCGACUCUUUGGCCUGUAACUGACACUGAGGCGCGAAAGCGUGGGGAGCAAACAGG